UCGGGAAUUUUGGGCAAUGGGCGAAAGCCUGACCCAGCAACGCCGCGUGAAGGAUGAAAUCCCUCGGGAUGUAAACUUCGCAAGAACAGGAAGAAUAAGUUUGUGCUAACACCACAAGCGAUGACGGUACUGUUUGUAAGCUCCGGCUAACUCCGUGCCAGCAGCCGCGGUAAUACGGGGGGAGCAAGCGUUGUUCGGAUUUACUGGGCGUAAAGGGCGCGUAGGCGGCCGCCGCAAGUCAGUUGUGAAAUCUCCGAGCUUAACUCGGAAAGGUCAACUGAUACUGCGGGGCUAGAGUGCGGAAGGGGCAGCUGGAAUUCUUGGUGUGGCGGUGAAAUGCGUAGAUAUCAAGAGGAUCACCUGCGGCGAAGGCGGGUUGCUGGGCCGACACUGACGCUGAGGCGCGAAAGCUAGGGGAGCGAACGGG
rnacentral:rRNA from 1 species